UGUUCGGCUAAAGUGGAUGGAAAGGGCACUGCGGAUUUGAGCGGUUGCUGUUCGGCACGGUGAGCCUUUUUUUGCAGCCAUUCGACUCGUGACCCCAAUGAAGAUGCGGCCGCAAAUGGAGGUGUUUCAACCAUUGAAAACUCUUGUCACUUCAUUAUCCUUGUGUUCGGUGGUUGUGACAGCGUUUUUCCUCGGAGGCUUGAAUCAGGCAAACGUUAGGUUUUGCAUGCUGUCUCAAGCAUCAUCGCUUCAG
rnacentral:lncRNA from 1 species